AGUGAACGCUGGCGGUAGGCCUAACACAUGCAAGUCGAACGGCAGCACAGUAAGAGCUUGCUCUUACGGGUGGCGAGUGGCGGACGGGUGAGGAAUACAUCGGAAUCUACUUUUUCGUGGGGGAUAACGUAGGGAAACUUACGCUAAUACCGCAUACGACCUACGGGUGAAAGCAGGGGAUCUUCGGACCUUGCGCGAUUGAAUGAGCCGAUGUCGGAUUAGCUAGUUGGCGGGGUAAAGGCCCACCAAGGCGACGAUCCGUAGCUGGUCUGAGAGGAUGAUCAGCCACACUGGAACUGGGACACGGUCCAGACUCCUACGGGAGGCAGCAGUGGGGAAUAUUAGACAAUGGGCGCAAGCCUGACCCAGCCAUACCGCGUGGGUGAAGAAGGCCUUCGGGUUGUAAAGCCCUUUUGUUGGGAAAGAAAAGCAGCAGGUUAAUACCCCGCUGUUCUGACGGUACCCAAAGAAUAAGCACCGGCUAACUUCGUG
rnacentral:rRNA from 1 species